CCGGGCCUGGGGAAUGCCUUCCUUUACCUCUUCAGCACCAUCUUUUCCUUCCGUUCAUACAGACAUGUUUGAGGGGUUACCAUGGGAACGCUUGGGAUACAACCCCUGGAGAUUGAGAUAGAAUUCGUGACCAAAACUACAUUGGGCUAUAUCUGUGUCCACCACGUGGAAUCGAACUCCGAAUUUUAACGUUGUAAUUCAUUAGACUUACCAUUGUCCCACUGGGUGACCAUGCUUUUCUGAAUAGGAUGGUUAAUUUUGUUCAUGUCAUUGGCUCAAAACCCUACAAACUGUAUAUCAGACCUAUGUAUAUAAUUAUUGAGUUUUUCACGUGUUGCCUUAAUCAUGAUGUUUUUCGUGUGGUGUUUUGUAUUAUUCAGUUUUAUGCUAACAAUUUAGGAUGUGUGUGUGUUAUUAUACAUACAAAGUGGCUUACAAAUCAUUAGUAAUAGGGUGAAUCAGCCUGUUAUCGUUGUUCUUUUGGAAUAAAUAUAUUUUAAAAACCACAAA